UGCAAGUCGAGCGGACCGACGGGAGCUUGCUCCCUUAGGUCAGCGGCGGACGGGUGAGUAACACGUGGGUAACCUGCCUGUAAGACUGGGAUAACUCCGGGAAACCGGGGCUAAUACCGGAUGCUUGAUUGAACCGCAUGGUUCAAUCAUAAAAGGUGGCUUUUAGCUACCACUURCAGAUGGACCCGCGGCGCAUUAGCUAGUUGGUGAGGUAACGGCUCACCAAGGCGACGAUGCGUAGCCGACCUGAGAGGGUGAUCGGCCACACUGGGACUGAGACACGGCCCAGACUCCUACGGGAGGCAGCAGUAGGGAAUCUUCCGCAAUGGACGAAAGUCUGACGGAGCAACGCCGCGUGAGUGAUGAAGGUUUUCGGAUCGUAAAACUCUGUUGUUAGGGAAGAACAAGUACCGUUCGAAUAGGGCGGCACCUUGACGGUACCUAACCAGAAAGCCACGGCUAACUACGUGCCAGCAGCCGCGGUAAUACGUAGGUGGCAAGCGUUGUCCGGAAUUAUUGGGCGUAAAGCGCGCGCAGGCGGUUUCUUAAGUCUGAUGUGAAAGCCCCCGGCUCAACCGGGGAGGGUCAUUGGAAACUGGGGAACUUGAGUGCAGAAGAGGAGAGUGGAAUUCCACGUGUAGCGGUGAAAUGCGUAGAGAUGUGGAGGAACACCAGUGGCGAAGGCGACUCUCUGGUCUGUAACUGACGCUGAGGCGCGAAAGCGUGGGGAGCGAACAGGAUUAGAUACCCUGGUAGUCCACGCCGUAAACGAUGAGUGCUAAGUGUUAGAGGGUUUCCGCCCUUUAGUGCUGCAGCAAACGCAUUAAGCACUCCGCCUGGGGAGUACGGUCGCAAGACUGAAACUCAAAGGAAUUGACGGGGGCCCGCACAAGCGGUGGAGCAUGUGGUUUAAUUCGAAGCAACGCGAAGAACCUUACCAGGUCUUGACAUCCUCUGACAACCCUAGAGAUAGGGCUUCCCCUUCGGGGGCAGAGUGACCAGGUGGUGCAUGGUUGUCGUCAGCUCCUGUCCUGAGAAGUUUGGG
rnacentral:rRNA from 2 species